CGCGCUCCCCCGCCAGGCCUCGGUUGGUCCUGGGCGAGCUGGGCAAAGGUCGCUCUUCCGCUUUAAAUCGCGAGUGGUUGCUAGGGGCGCUCGGAGCUGAAGGCAGGUGCUGAGAGUUCGCUUUUUCGAGAAUGUGUGACCACGUCCCAAGGUUGGCAACUGGGAGAACUUGUAUAGAAAGUUGAGCUGACUGAACCCUUGGCUGGAUAGACUCCUCGCCGACUCCCGCAAUCCCCGCCAGAGCACAUGGGUCCCAGUCUCUCUUCGCCCUCUACCCUCCCGGCGUUUCGCAAGAUCCCUGGCUCGUCCCGCUCCGGCGCGGAUUUCCUCCAGGGCUCGACGUGAGAGGUGAUGGGGUGCGCUACGGUGCAUUCGGGCUCGUUUGUUGAGAAAAGUUAGUGAGGUUUAGUCAUUAGGAAACCCUUCAAGCUUACGCACCGCACCAUCAAGCCCUAACUCCAAAGUGAUGAUGAAGAAGAGACACCAGAGAGUGCUCUCCCCUACCUGCCCCCUACCCGACAAGGACAGGGUGAGAACGAGAAGGUGGCUAUCUGCAAAUCAGGAAAAGGGAUCUCACCAGAACCUGAAUGUACGGGUACUCUGAUCUCAGACUUCUAGCCCCUAGAACUGCGAAGUAAGUGUCUGUGGUUUAAGCCACCCAGUCUAUGGCAUUUAGUUAUAGUGGCCCAAGCUAGGACAGACCUUAUGGUAAGCCCCAGAGGAAAAAUCACAGUGAGGUCCCUGGGACUGGAGCAAAGCCAUUGCACCUGCAGCAGAGAAGUAUAUACAUUUGAAGAACCAGCUACUGGUUAAAAAAAAAAAAAAAAAAAGAACCGGCUACUGGUGUGAUACUGGGCCUUGGUAGAGAAUAAACGCUUAACCAUGGGACGCCAAGUAAGCAUGUGUUCAGAACUGCCUCUCAUGGCCCGGAUUCUUUUGGUUCCAAGGACCCAGCAGCAUCUAUUGUAAGAUGGAAAUGGUACCUCUGAGAUGGAGCUCAGGCACAGUUGAGGUACUUGUAAGUUGUAUGACCAGGUAGUCCAGACCCCCGUGUCACCCCCCGCUGCUGCAGCACUACCAUGACCAGCUGAAGGAAGAAGGGUAAAUCCUGAGUUUGGUUUGUGGAUGAGUCAGCUUAGUAUGUGGGUGUAAGCCAAAAUUAGACAGUGACGGCCUUAUAGCCACAUUCUUGAGAGGCUUUGAAAAACAGCGGAAAGGAAAAAAUCUUCUUAAUGAGUAGAGUUACAAGCAUUGUCCCUGGUCAUCUACUUUGUGUAUAAGGAGAAGCAGACUGAACUAAGAAUAUGUAUAAAUAUAGAUUCUUGGGCAGGGGUCAAUGGCCUAGCCCCCUGGUAGGACACCCGGAAGGAAAAGGACUGGAAGAUCAAAGACAGGAAACUCUGGGGUAGAGUCUUAAGGGUGAAUAUACAGGAGUGGGCAUGAAAUGUGAAGAUUUUUGUAUCAUGUUUUUGUACCCACCAGGGAGGAAGUACUAAACAAUGAAGUAGUCAGAAUGACUCGUCUAAUUGGGUCAACAGGCUCAAGCACUGGCUACUUGGAACCAGCCUAAUGGGCACUGUAGAGGGUUAUAUUGUAUCCCCCCCCAAAGUUUAUAUGUUCAAUUUCUAAUCUCCAGUACCGCAAAAUGUGCCCUUAUUUGUAAAUAGGGUUGUUGCAGAUGUAAUUAGUUAUGGUGACAUCAUACCAGAGUAGGCGGGCCCCUAAUCCAGUGUAACUAGCCUCCUAAUAAGUAGAAGGCCGUGUGAAGACAGAGAUACAUGGAGGGAAGGCCAUGCGAAGAUAAGAACAGAGACUAGGCCCAUGUAGGAGAAGCCAAGGAAUGCAAAGAUUGCCAGCAAACCACCAAAAGCUGGGAGAGAGGCAUAGAACAAGUUUUCCCUCACAGGCCUGAGAAGGAACUAAGCCUGCUAACACCUUGAUCUCAGACUUCUAGCCUCUAGAACUGUGAGACAAUAAGUUUCUGUUCUUUAAAUCACCAAAUUUAUGGUACCUUGUGAAGACAAUUCUAAGAAACUAAUACAGGCACUAUAAAUGGAGCGGCCACAGUGGCAGAGAUAGAGGCUAUGGAUAGAUCCCAAAAGCAUGGACUCCAGCUUUUUAAGGCUGAUCUAGCUACUGAUGCCUAAAUGUCCAGCAUGUCAGCAAUAGAGACUGCGGCUGAGUCCCAUUAUGGAACUAUUACUCAAGGAGACAAAUGGCUACUUGGUGACAAGUUGAUGACAUUGGGUCUCUUCCAUCCCGGAGGGGCCCCUGUUGCAUUCUCACAGUAAUAGGUAACUAAUUCUGGGUAUGGGUUUUCCUUUCUACCAACAGAUCCCCAGCUCACAGUACAGUACUGGGGCCUGUGGAAUGUCUGAUCCGCAGGUGUAGAACCCUGCAUAACCAAGAAUUCAACUGGGACAACAGCUUUAGAGUAAAAGAGGGAGAGAGUGGACCUGUGACCUCAUACCACACCAACCAGAAAAGGCUGACCUCAAAAAGAGCUAGAAUAGUUUUCUAAAGGUUCAAGUGAAAUACCAUUCAGAGACAACUCUGAAAAAACUGGGUACUAUCAUUCAGGAUAUGUUAUACAAAUUAAAUCAGAGGACAUUUGGAAGCCAAUAGGAAAAAUAGAUGAGUCCACUAACAAAGGAGUGAAUGCAGGAAUAGCUCCAUUUACCUUCACUACCAAUGACCCACCAGAGGAUCUUGUGCUCCUUAGACCCACAAAGCUGUGAUCUGUGCCAGAUACUGCUCCCCAGAGGGAUUGCACUCCCUGUGUUAAGGGGCACAGCAAAGAUCCCAGCAGCUAUGACUGCUGCUGAGGCACUUUAGACUCAUUAUUCUGGGGGCCAGUAGGUGAAAACUCACCAUCAUGACAAGGAUAACUGAGCCUAAUGGGUAGGAGAAGGUAGCACUGCCUUUUACAGAAUCCAUGUGACUCACUUGGGUGUCUCCUGAUACUCUCUUGCCCCAUUGCAACUAUGAACAUAUGCAGUGACUCUGACCUGAGAAGUGUUUGGUUACCAGCAGCUCAGUUCCCGCAGGAAUAAAGGUCUGGCUAAUACUAUCACAUAAGACCUCAAGAUCUGCUAAGAUGAUAAGUGAGGGUGUGGGGAAUUUAGACGGAAUAGUAGAAAAGGGAGAAAAUGAAUAUCAAUUGUGGCCUCCAGACCAGGUGCUGUAGUUCAUUCUACUUAUCUUUCUCUUUUUUUUUUUUUUUGGUCUUUUUAGGGCCAUAUCCACAGCAUAUGGAGGUUCCCAGGCUAGAGGUUGAAUCCAAGCUGUAGCUGCUGGCCUACCCUACAGCCACAGCAACACCAGAUCCAAGCUGUGUCUGUGACCUACACCACAGAUCAUGGCAACACCAGAUCCUUAACCCAUAGAGUGAGGCUAGGGAUCGAACCUGCGUCCUCAUGGAUGCUAGUCAGAUUCAUUUCCACUGAACCACGACAGAACUCCUCAUUCCACUAAUCUUUCUUUUCUAAGUUUCUUUUUAGGAGGAGAGGCCCAUGAAAGAGCUUCUUCCCAAACUGGUAGAUCUGUGAGGCAAAGGAGUGGACUGCAGUGUUUCUAAAAAUGGGCCACUGGAUUUCCUGCUGUGCAGAGUGUAGUCAGUUGAUGGCUCCAGUUACUGAGGCCACACUUCCCACACCAUAUUCCUAACUAAUGACUGAGCAUGCAGAGUAAUAACGCAGCUCAUUCCUUCAAGACUUGGGGCUCCCCCAAUGGACCACUUUGGCUAGAGGGAGCUAUUCUUCAGAUUCAGAGUUCAGAGGGAAAUUUAAAGACAGGAGAUUUAUGCAAAGAAAACUUUUAUAGAAAUUAAAGAUAAAAUCAGAAAUUGAUGAAUCAGAAAGCAGAAAAACGAGAGAAAAUCAACAAAGCCAAAAUUUUAGUAACAUUCAGAAAGAUUAAAAAGAAAAUCAACUCUUAGCAAGACUGCUCAAGGAAAACUUUAAGAAAACACAUUACCAAUAUCAGCAAUAAAAAGGACAUCUCUGGGAGUUUGGGCCUAGCGGUUAAAGAUCCAGUGUUGUCACUGCGUGGCUUGGGUUCGAUCCCUGGCUUAGGAACUUCCACAUGCCUCGGCAUGGCCAAAAAAAAGAGGACAUCACCACAGGUCCUAUAGACAUUAAAAAUAUAAGAAAAUAUCAGGGGAUACAACUUUAUACCAAUAAAAUUGGCAACCUAGAUGAAGUGAAAAAUUUUAUUGAAAAAUAAAGCUUGAAACUGAAAUAAUAAUAAUUCUGUAUUUUAAAGGAAUUGAAUUCAUAAUUUAAAACUUUUCUACAAAGAAAACUCCAGAUGGCUUCACUGGUGAAUUCUCUCCAACAUAUAUAUUUCUUUUAGAAAGGCAUAAAAGGCGUAUUCACACUUUCUGAUGCUUAUAUAUCACGCACUCUAUUUGUGCGUUAACUUCCCCCUGCUCCAUGCCUCAUUCAUUUAGCACAUUACGUUAGGAGUCGUAGAUAAAAAGAUGAAUAACGUUUUUGGCAGCAGGAGCUUUCAGAUUGGUGGAAGAAGCAGCCAUGUAAUGUAAAUGCCAUGAAAUAGGUGCUAAUAAAGAUUUUUAUAAAGUACUGUGAGAGAUGGGUGUAAUCCAGGGAAGGAAAGGCUUUACAGACAGGAGAAGUGAAACAGUGUGCCAUGUGCUGUAGGCAUAAAAAUAACUGGGAAACAGAGAACAUCCUUUCCCGGUCUUCCUUCCUGGAUCUUCUCCCCUUCUCCCCUCACAUUUUCAGUACCUCAGGGUUCUUCCUUGACUUCUGUUUUUCAGUCUCCUCCAUUUCAAACACUCUCACAUUCAUCCCUUUCAGAUAUAACUUAAUCAUUCCAAAAUAUGUUAUCUCCAGCCUCCAGCUCUCUCUUGAGCUCCAGGCCUAAGUAUUUAAAUAUCCAGAGAACUCCCCUACUCAAGCGCUUUGUUUCACUCUUGUUCUCCUCUCUCCCCUGCAUCACCAGUCUUCUCUCCCUUCUUGGAAGAGCCCUCCCUUGAUGGCAUGUGCCUCUUCAGCUACUACUAUACUACUUUUCUUCUCCCCUUUAUAUCAUCAUCUCCCUUUCUUUCUACUGUAUCUUAACCUUUUAUGAUACUUAAAAACCUUUCAUGGGUCUUUUAUCCCCAAUAUUCUGCUGAGAUGUCCCUUAUCAAGGUCAUCAAUAACCAUCAUGUCGCCAAAUCCAGUUCUCAACUCCUUUGACCUAACGGCAGCAUUGAAGCCGUUGCUCAUGUCCUCCUCUUGAAAGACUUCUACCUGGCUUCACCCGCUGCUGAUUUCCUUCUCACCUCACUGGAUGCUCCUUCUUAGUCUCUUGGUCGGAUCUUCUCUCUCAUCACAGCCAUUAAGUAUUAGAGUAUUCUGUUGUUCCAUCCUUGGGCUUCUGCUCAGUUUUUACUUACAAUCAUCUUAGAACUCUUAACCAGUUCUAGCAUCUUAAAUGCCAUUGUAUAAUUCCAAAAAUGUAUAUCUAUAUACUUGACCCCGCCCCUGAACUCCAGACUCAUAUCUCCAGUAGCUACUCUCAUUGGAUGUCUAACAGUAUUCCAAACUAAACAUGUCUAAAAGCAAACUCUAUCAAACCUAAUUCCCUUCAGUCUUCUCCAUCUCAUAAAUGGCUCUAUGAUUCAGUCUGUUGCUCAGGCCAGAAGUGUUGGAGUCAUUGUCAACGUCUCUCUUUUUCUGUUACCCUCAUUCAGUCCAUUAGCACAUUGCAUCAGCUCUGCCUUCAAAAUGUAUCUCAAGUCUGGGAGUUCCUGCUGUGACACAGUGGGUUAAGAAUCUGACUGCGUGGCCCUGGUUGCUGCGGCGGCACAGGCUCAACCCCUGGCCCAGCGCAUUGGAUUAAAGGGUCUGGCAUUGCCACAUCUGUGGCAUAGGUCACAGCUGUGCCUCCAAUUCGAUCCCUGAUGGAUAUAUAUCAAGUAUAUAUAUGCUUGAUAUAUAUAUCAAGUCUGAUCAGUUCUCACCAACUUCUCUCACCUAGACCCCUUCUUCCUAACUGGCUGCCCAGCUUUUACACUUCCCCCACUACAGUCUUUGGGGAGUGAUCUUCUACAGUGUAAGUGAGGACAUACCACUCCUGUGUUCAAAAACCCUCCAAUGAUUCACAUCACACUUAAGAUAAAACCCAGAGUUUUCCCCCAUGGUCUACGAAGACUUGUGAUCUGGCGUCUUGCUCUACUCUGACCUUAGCUUCUUCCAUUCUUCCCCUCCUUUAGUCUGUGCUUCUAUCACGCUAGUCUCCUUGUCAUUCCUGAAACAUAUGACAAGCACAUUCCCUGCACUGGACAUCUGCACUUCCUCUUGACUCUGUCUGGACUACUCUUUCUCCAGGUAUUCACGCGGCUCAUUUCCUCUCUGUUCAGAGGGUACCCCUUCAUGGGUACCACUUCAUCUAAAAUAACUUUCUCCUUUAUUUGCUGUGAUUUUACUCUGCUCUAUUUUCUUUCAUAGCUUGUAGCAUUACAGAGAUCAUAUCGUGUGUGCAUUUGUUUGUUGGAAAUGUGUUAUCUGCUUUCCACAGUAGAAUGUGAACUCCACAGGGGCAAGGAAUUCAUCUGUUUUGUUCAGUCACCAAAUCCUAUCAGUUCUACCCCUUAAAAUAUUUUCAGUCCAUCUUCGUCUCCGUUAUCACUACCUUUGCCUUAAUUCAGUUGCCAUCAUCACUUGCUAGGACUAUUAUUGUAUUCUCCUACUUGACUAUCUGCCUUCACCUUCUAUUGAGACCUUUCUCUCACAUGACUACCAAUUCGAUAGCACUAUAGUUAAUAUGUAUUCAUGUCUCUCCUACAUAGAAUCCUUUAUAGGGUACACGCCCUUUGCAUAUUGGGUUAAGUUCAAGCCCCUCAGCACAGCAUCCAAGUCAUCUCCUGCCACCUUUACUUUUACUCUCCAGCAGCACCAAACUGCUUAAAUAGCCUCAUGUCCUUGCCUCUGUUCUUGGGACAUACUGGUUCUUCUAUUUAGAUGCCCUUUCCUGACUCAGAGAUAGAUAAAUAUUUCUUCCUUUGGCUGUACUUCCAUUGCAUUCAUUAUACUGCGAUGGAUUUUUUUUUUUUCUUACAUGUAGGUCUCUUAUUACAAUGAUCUCUUGGGGGGAGAGAGUUCUAUCUUGUUGAGGUUGCAGCUCCUGUCACACAGUAAUGGGUAGAUGGAGAUGGGAGUAGGGCGUGGAGAAUGUUCAAAGUAGAAAGGACUGCGUGUGUAAUCACUCUGAAGCAUGAGGGGGCUCAGCAUCUUCAGAAAAGAGAGAAGGACUGUGUGACUGAUCUAGUAAGGGGGAGAGUGGCGGGAGGCAAACUGGAAAGACUCUGGGAACCAGAUCAUGCAAGGCCCUUGUCGAACAUGCAAAAGAUGUUGAAUUGUGAGAAAAUGAGAAAUGGAAAGUCUCAAAAAAGCUUUAAGGAGAAAAAGAUGAAGUUUGCAUAAAAAAAAAAAAUCACUUUGCUUGCUUUGUAAACAGUAGAUUGAAAGAUGUCAAGAAUGACCAGUGAGGGACCUGCUGGGCACUAUUGUAAUAGUCCAGGCAGAAAGAGAUGAUGCCUUGGCCUGGGCUUUAGCUGUGGGGAUGGUGAGAAGUAAAUAGAUUCAAGUUAUAUCUUGGAGAUAAACUGGAUCAGGUUUAGUGAUAG